GUAAUGUUAUAGUGUACCCAUGCCAGAGUGAACUGCAGCCUCUGCCCAGCUUUCUUGCCUGUGGGCUGUGAUCACUGAAGAAGGUUGCACAACU
rnacentral:snoRNA from 1 species